rnacentral:misc_RNA from 1 species
AAAACAAAAAAAAAACCGACUUCAAUUACAUCGACGAGUAAUACAACGUAGAUCGACGAAAAAAUAGUCAAGUAACUACGCGUUAUCAAAGAUUACUCAAAAAGUAGUUAUCAGAUCUCAAUAAAAUUUAUAUAUGACAAACAUCAGCUUUCGAUUAAAUUAAAAAUUAUUAAAAUCGGUACACCCAGUAAAAAGCUAUUGCGGAUUUUCAAGAAUUUCCCUCGAUUUCUCUGGGAUCCCAUCAUCAGAUCCUGGUUUCCUUAUCAUGGUACCAAACUAGGGAUAUUCCCUUCCCAACAAAAAAAGAAUUAUCAAAAUCAGUACAUCCAGUAGAAAGUUAUGCGGUAUAAUACAACGUAGGUCGACGAAAAA